rnacentral:rRNA from 1 species
UACGAAGGGGGCUAGCGUUGCUCGGAAUCACUGGGCGUAAAGCGCACGUAGGCGGAUCGUUAAGUCGGGGGUGAAAUCCUGGAGCUCAACUCCAGAACUGCCUUUGAUACUGGGAGUCUUGAGUUCGGGAGAGGUGAGUGGAACUGCGAGUGUAGAGGUGAAAUUCGUAGAUAUUCGCAAGAACACCAGUGGCGAAGGCGGCUCACUGGCCCGAUACUGACGCUGAGGUGCGAAAGCGUGGGGAGCAACA